rnacentral:rRNA from 1 species
GCAGCCGCGGUAAUACAGAGGGCCCGAGCGUUAAUCGGAAUCACUGGGCUUAAAGCGUACGUAGGCGGACUUGUAGGCAUCUUGUGAAAUCCCUCGGCUCAACCGGGGAAUUGCAGGGUGAACCACAAGUCUUGAGGCGAGUAGAGGCGGUCGGAACGAUAGGUGGAGCGGUGAAAUGCGUAGAUAUCUAUCGGAACGCCAAAGGUGAAGACAGGCCGCUGGGCUCGUCCUGACGCUGAGGUACGAAAGCGUGGGUAGCGAACGGGAUUAGAUACCCCGGUAGUCCACGCCGUAAACGAUGCGAACUAGAUCGAGGAGGUUUGACGCCCUCUUGGUCGAAGCAAAAGUGUUAAGUUCGCCGCCUGGGGAGUACGGUCGCAAGGCUAAAACUCAAAGGAAUUGACGGGGGCUCACACAAGCGGUGGAGCAUGUGGCUUAAUUCGAAGCAACGCGAAGAACCUUAUCCAGGGUUUGACAUGUAUGGAUUAACUCCUUGAAAGAGGAGCCACACCUUCGGGUGGAACAUACACAGGUGCUGCAUGGCUGUCGUCAGCUCGUGCUGUGAAGUGUCGGGUUAAGUCCCUCAACGAGCGCAACCCUUGUCGUUAGUUGCUAACAGGUAAUGCUGAGGACUCUAGCGAGACUGCCGGUGUUAAACCGGAGGAAGGUGGGGAUGACGUCAAGUCCUCAUGGCCUUUAUGCCCUGGGCUGCACACGUGCUACAAUGGUAGGUACAGAACGAUGCAAGACCGCGAGGUGGAGCAAAUCGCUAAAACCUGCCCCAGUUCGGAUUGGAGGCUGCAACUCGCCUCCAUGAAGUCGGAAUCGCUAGUAA